rnacentral:lncRNA from 1 species
CAGAGAUAUAUUCAUGUUCAUUUGGUGGUAUAAUGCAUUGAAAAGGGCUGAAUCACUGCUAAUUUGGAUAUUAUCUACUUCUUUCUGUAGACUAGAACAUCAAGAGUGGGAGAGUAUCCAUUCAACUACAGACUUGCCUGGAGCGUGUCUCUCUCUCUGCUGUCUGGUCAUUGCCCAAGGGAAGACUGCAGUUUGGGAUAAGAUCUGCUCUCUAACAAACUUAUCUCGUGUGGGGAUGAUGUCUCUGAGGUUGUGCCUCUGCAAGGCCACUCACUUUACCAUGCUGAGUCCAAGAGAAGACUUCCAAUUGAUUGCCAGGCCGAGUGCCAAGGUAUUAAUGUUCCCUACGACUCUGAUUCACAAUGACUGGAUACUUUUAGCUCUAUCUUUUUAUGAACAGGUGGAUAGGAAAUCGUUUUGGCAUAGAACAAAUGGAGAGAGGUGCUACAAUGGAUUGUCUCAGCGUUAAGGGCCCGCUGCCAGUCUAUUUCCCCCCCCCCCCGUUUUCUUUCUAUAGCUGCCUCUGAAACAGUGUGCAGGUUUCUUUUGUCAGGAAGAAGUCUUUUGAGGCAUCCAGUCAUGUCACUGUCCUACCUGCACUGACACUGCGCUGCUCCCUGGGAGCUCUGUUCGUUUGACAGCAGCCUGGUGAAACAGCUCUUACUGAAAGCCCAGAAGUGGCAGCAGGCACAGCAAGGCCUUAAAUCAGCUCUGCUCUUGUGGUUUGGUGUCCAUGCUACAGCUAGGGCAUGGUGCAAUAUUUAUGUGCAUGCCAUCAUGCUUAGAAAGUGGAGGUAAAAGUUGAUUGAUUCAAAAGUAUAGUAAAAAUAAUAAUAAUAAUAAUAAUAAUAAUAAAUAAACGGGUGUUCCACA